rnacentral:rRNA from 1 species
CCUACGGGUGGCAGCAGUGGGGAAUAUUGCACAAUGGGGGAAACCCUGAUGCAGCGACGCCGCGUGAGUGAAGAAGUAAUUCGUUACGGAAAGCCCUAUCAGCAGGGAAGAAACACUGACCUUACGGUCAGCAGACGGUACCUGAGUAAGAAGCGCCGGCUAACUACGCGCCAGCAGCCGCGGUAAGACGUAGGGGGCAAGCGUUAUCCGGAUUUACUGGGUGUAAAGGGAGCGUAGACGGUGCGCCAAGUCUAGAGUGAAAUGUCGCAGCUUAAAUGCGGAACUGCUUUGGAAACUGGCGAACUAGAGUGCGGGAGGGGUAAGCGGAAUUCCUGGUGUAGCGGUGAAAUGCGUAGAUAUUAGGAGGAACACCGGUGGCGAAGGCGGCUUACUGGACCGUAACUGACGUUGAGGCUCGAAAGCGUGGGGAGCAAACAGGAUUAGAUACCCGGGUAGUC